rnacentral:rRNA from 1 species
AAGUCGUAACAAGGUUUCCGUAGGUGAACCUGCGGAAGGAUCAUUAUUGAAAGCUUCGGCUUCCUUUGAUGCUUAACCCUUUUGAUGUCCAUUACCUCAGUUGCUUCCACGAAUUCUUGGAUUCGUGGUCGGCCUUUAAUAAAAACCUUUAUAAUUAGCUAUGUUUUGUCUGAAUAAACAAAAAAUGUUUUAAAACUUUCAACAACGGAUCUCUUGGCUCCUGCAUCGAUGAAGAACGCAGCGAAAUGCGAUAAUUAAUGUGAAUUGCAGAAUUCAGUGAAUCAUCGAGUCUUUGAACGCACAUUGCGCCCCAUGGUAUUCCGUGGGGCAUGCCUGUCUGAGCGUCAGCAACACCACUCAAGCAUUGCUUUAAUGCCUUGCUUGGACUAUAUCAGAGAAGCGGUUUGUUUACUAACCGCCCUCUGGAAAUUGAUAGAUGGUCAGGUUGUCACACUAUGCCAAACGUCAUAUGAUUUAAAUCGUUCGUUUUCAUUGGUUGAUAUCUUGAUAGUCAUUGAACCCACAGUGUAUGCUGUUUUUUUCUGACUUGACCUCAGAUCAGGUAGGGAUACCCGCUGAACUUAAGCAUAUCAAUAAGCGGAGGAAAAGAAACCAACAGGGAUUGCCUCAGUAACGGCGAGUGAAGCGGCAAAAGCUCAGAUUUGAAAUCUGGCGUCUUAUGGCGUCCGAGUUGUAAUCUGUAGAGGAGUGUUCGAGCAUGGCCUUGGCUUAAGUUCCUUGGAACAGGACGUCAUGGAGGGUGAGAAUCCCGUGUACGGCCUUUGACUUGUGCUUAUGUGAACCUCCUUCAACGAGUCGAGUUGUUUGGGAAUGCAGCUCUAAAUGGGUGGUAAAUUUCAUCUAAAGCUAAAUACUGGCAGGAGACCGAUAGCGCACAAGUAGAGUGAUCGAAAGAUGAAAAGAACUUUGGAAAGAGAGUUAAAUAGUACGUGAAAUUGUUGAAAGGGAAGCACUUGCUCCCAGACUUGCCUGCAGCUGAUCAAUCGCCAUUUUUGGUGGUGCACUUGGUUGUAGGCAGGCCAGCAUCAGUCCAGACGACGAGAAAAAGGUGCAGGGAAUGUGGCUCUUUUCGGAGAGUGUUAUAGCCCUGUACGUAAUGUCGCCUGCCUGGACUGAGGCCCGCGCUUCGGCGAGGAUGCUGGCGUAAUGGUCGUAAGUGACC